UAGCGAUUACGCUAUUAAUUAAAUAAAUUCAACUAGAAUUCCAUUCAAUUCAAAGCCCCUAAAUAAACCCUUGUGUGACGCUAGUGGUCAGCGUAGAAAUAUAUACAGUCGUCUACAGCGCAGGCUUGCCCACUGUCGAAAGGAAAUCGAAUUUCCGAUGAAGAUCAAUGAUUUAGUCAGGUACGCUCGCUCAAAAGUAAACAUGCAAACGUAAAAUCUUCAGAGGGACGAAUUUCUGGAAUAAAUGAAAUAAAUGAAUACCAUCGGAUAAAUUACAUACAAUCAACUAUUUCAAAAAAACAAAGUUUCAAUAAAUGUUCGGAGUAACCAAAGUGACAAAGCAAGUAAAUAUCCAAUAAUUUGUAUAUGAAGAAAUGAGCAAUGCUGUUAUGGCGUAAGCAAUGAAGUUUGCAUGUUAGUUCCAGAGUUCGUCCCUAUAUCCAGAACCAGUUUUUUUUGUAAACACAGAAACAUACCAAUAUCUACUACCAUUACCUCUACUUGAUACAGGAGCUCUUCCACACAGCGACAGCUUUACAUUGGACUUUAUAGGAGCCACGAGGACCUCACCCAUCCUAUUGGACUUGAUUUGGAUUAGUGAUUGUAAAAGCUAAGCUAAUUUUUAUCUAUAUUAUUUGCAUUUCAUAGUACUAUUUACCUUUUGUUUACAUUUACUUUUGUGAACUUCUUGUGUGCACACAAUCAAGCAACUUAAGUAUAGAGUUUUGAAUAAAUGGGGGGGUUGGUGUUUGUUUUUAUUAAUAAUAGUAGGGUAUAAAAUACAUGUGUUAAAAUAAACUAGAUAAUGGUAUAAAUAAUAAGUAAUUCAAUCAGUUUUAAAAUUAAAUAAGGGAAGGGGUAAUAAUAAUAAUUAAAUAUAAUAUAUUAUAGAGAGGUUUUAAAUACUAUUUGAGUGAGCAUCAUUUGAUUUGCGUAGAGUAUAUUACCUGACUCGUUGUUUUGUUGAAAAUGUUAGAAUUCUCCCAGUGUCUGUGUUAAGUGUCAUACUUACACAUAGCCUGGUAUUUGAGUGCUCGGGACACUUGUCAGUCCAAUUAGUUUCUUUAAUAUAUUACUAACCUUAGGUUAAGACUUUGACUAUUCACACGGACUUUGACUGUUUACUAAUAUAUAACUUUUCCUUGGCCAGUAGUAGUGGUUCUUUUAAUUAUAGUGGCUGUUAGGUCCUCUCUCACUGUUAUACCACCCACUACUACUGUUAUUUAUAUGUUAUGUAGAUGUAUAAUAUAAGAUAUUUAUACAUAAUGUUCAAUCAUUAAUUGUUGAUAAAUAUAUUGAUUGUUACUA
rnacentral:lncRNA from 1 species